rnacentral:lncRNA from 1 species
AUGUUUUCCCCUUCUUUGUCUUACAGGCACCUGCUUCCUCUGAGGCUAAGAAAAAGGCUGUUGCAAAGAGGGCACCCAAAACAAAGAAAGCCAAACCCGCUGAGAAUGGGAGCACCAAGGCUGAGGAGCCCAAGGCUGAAGCCACUGAAGCCAAAUGAAUAGUGGUUGAUGUGCUCACUCUGUGUACUUGGUGAUUGUACAGUUUUAAAUAAGUAUUUUUUACCAAGUUUUAUAUUACAAAUGUCAUUUAUAGUUUUGUUUUUGGCUUGCACUUGAUGUAACAAAAUUUUGUUUUCACAUUCAUAUCCAUUUUA